UAUGCACUCUACUGUAAGUCGCUCUGGAUAAGAGCGUCUGCUAAACGACUAAAA
rfam:Salmo salar isolate Sally breed double haploid chromosome ssa05, whole genome shotgun sequence.